CUUCUUUUGUCCUGUGAACAGCUUAAGAAACACAAGCAGUAGAUUAGAAAACACUGUUCAUAAGGCAUUUGGCGAUUCUAUACUUUAAGGUAAAGGUGGAAGUGGUCACAAAUGAUCAGCUUUUUGAAGUUAUUACAGGAACAGGACAGUGAUGGAAGAAGUAUGUCCUUUACUUAAGUUAAAAUAUCAAUAUUGAAAUGAAAAUGUUCCACUACAGGUGAAUGUUCUGCAUUCAAAAGGUUACUAAAGUGACAGUAUUAACAGCAAAAUGUACUUCAAGUGUGAGAACAAAUAAAGUACCUCAAAUUUGUGCUCUAUACAAUAUGAGGAUAAGUACCUAGUUACAUGUCACAACUAUGGAAUGACAGAGAUUCCAGUUUUGUAGAUAAACUGUAAGAAAUGUCUCUGCCACACAGGCUGUUCUGGGAAAAAAGACUGACUUGAUACUUCAGUCUAAUCACUGCUAGCACAGGUUAAUAAAGGCCACAGAUUACUCAGUGCUUCAUUAAAUCACUUCUAAAAUUACAUUUUGACAAGGUUUUAUAAAGGUUAUUAGGCCAAUUUAAUGAAAGUUCUUCUAUUUAAAUCACUACUGA